rnacentral:tRNA from 1 species
GGCUGUGGCUCAGUGGUACAGCACUUGCCUAGCAUGUGUGAGGCACUGGGUUCGAUCCUCAGCACCA